rnacentral:rRNA from 1 species
UACGGAGGAUCCGAGCGUUAUCCGGAUUUAUUGGGUUUGAAGGGAGCGUAGGUGGAUUGUUAAGUCAGUUGUGAAAGUUUGCGGCUCAACCGUAAAAUUGCAGUUGAAACUGGCAGUCUUGAGUACAGUAGAGGUGGGCGGAAUUCGUGGUGUAGCGGUGAAAUGCUUAGAUAUCACGAAGAACUCCGAUUGCGAAGGCAGCUCACUGGACUGCAACUGACACUGAGGCUCGAAAGUGUGGGUAUCAAACAGG